rnacentral:rRNA from 1 species
GAUGAACGCUGACAGAAUGCUCAACACAUGCAAGUCUACUUGAACUUCGGUUUGGGUGGCGGACGGGUGAGUAACGCGUAAAGAACUUGCCUCACAGAUAGGGACAACAUUUGGAAACGAAUGCUAAUACCUGAUAUUAUGAUUUUAGGGCAUCCUAGAAUUAUGAAAGCUAUAUGCACUGUGAGAGAGCUUUGCGUCCCAUUAGCUAGUUGGAGAGGUAACGGCUCACCAAGGCGAUGAUGGGUAGCCGGCCUGAGAGGGUGAUCGGCCACAAGGGGACUGGGGCACGGCCCUUACUCCUACGGGAGGCAGCAGUGGGGAAUAUUGGACAAUGGACCAAGAGUCUGAUCCAGCAAUUCUGUGUGCACGAUGAAGUUUUUCGGAAUGUAAAGUGCUUUCAGUUGGGAAGAAAAAAAUGACGGUACCAACAGAAGAAGUGACGGCUAAAUACGUG